GUCAAACGGCAGCGGGGACUUCGGUCCGCCGGCGAGUGGCGAACGGGUGAGUAAAGUAUCGGAACGUACCUUUCAGUGGGGGAUAACGUAGCGAAAGUUACGCUAAUACCGCAUAUUCUGUGAGCAGGAAAGCAGGGGAUCGCAAGACCUUGCGCUGAUUGAGCGGCCGAUAUCAGAUUAGCUAGUUGGUGAGGUAAAGGCUCACCAAGGCGACGAUCUGUAGCGGGUCUGAGAGGAUGAUCCGCCACACUGGAACUGAGACACGGUCCAGACUCCUACGGGAGGCAGCAGUGGGGAAUUUUGGACAAUGGGGGCAACCCUGAUCCAGCCAUGCCGCGUGAGUGAAGAAGGCCCUCGGGUUGUAAAGCUCUUUCGGCCGGGAAGAAAUCGUAUGGGUUAAUACCCUGUGCGGAUGACGGUACCGGCAUAAGAAGCACCGGCUAACUACGUGCCAGCAGCCGCGGUAAUACGUAGGGUGCGAGCGUUAAUCGGAAUUACUGGGCGUAAAGCGUGCGCAGGCGGUUUUGUAAAACAGGCGUGAAAUCCCCGGGCUCAACCUGGGAACUGCGCUUGUGACUGCAAGGCUAGAGUAUGGCAGAGGGGGGUGGAAUUCCACGUGUAGCAGUGAAAUGCGUAGAGAUGUGGAGGAACAUCAAUGGCGAAGGCAGCCCCCUGGGUCAAUACUGACGCUCAUGCACGAAAGCGUGGGUAGCAAACAGGAUUAGAUACCCUGGUAGUCCACGCUCUAAACGAUGUCAACUAGGUGUUGGGUGGGUAAAACCAUUUUAGUAUCGUAUCUAACGCGUGAAGUUGACCGCCUGGGGAGUACGGCCGCAAGGUUAAAACUCAAAGGAAUUGACGGGGACUCGCACAAGCGGUGGAUGAUGUGGGAUUAAUUUCGAUGCAAACGCGA
rnacentral:rRNA from 1 species